rnacentral:rRNA from 1 species
GACGAACGCUGGCGGCGUGCUUAACACAUGCAAGUCGAACGGAAAGGCCCUGCUUUUGUGGGGUGCUCGAGUGGCGAACGGGUGAGUAACACGUGAGUAACCUGCCCUUGACUUUGGGAUAACUUCAGGAAACUGGGUCUAAUACCGGAUAGGAGCUCCUGCUGCAUGGUGGGGGUUGGAGAGUUUCGGCGGUUGGGGAUGGACUCGCGGCUUAUCAGCUUGUUGGUGAGGUAGUUGCUUACCAAGGCUUUGACGGGUAGCCCGCCUGAGAGGGUGACCGGCCACCUUGGGACUGAGAUACGGCCCAGACUCCUACGGGAGGCAGCAGUGGGGAAUAUUGCAGAAUGGGCGGAAGCCUGAUGCAGCAAUGCUGCGUGCGGGAUGACGGCCUUUGGGUUGUAAACCGCUUUCGCCUGUGACGAAGCGUGAGUGACGGUAAUGGGUAAAGAAGCACCGGCUAACUACGUG